AAGUCGUAACAAGGUUUCCGUAGGUGAACCUGCGGAAGGAUCAUUACUAAAGAUUCAUCUUUAGUUCAAAUUGUGCACCGUUUACCCUUUACCUUUACUGGUAAAGGCCCAUUUUUGUUACUUUGCCAUUUUGUAAUUUUACUUUACUGUUAUUUGUUAUUUUUAAAAUACAAUAUAACUUUCAGCAACGGAUCUCUAGGCUCUU
rnacentral:misc_RNA from 1 species